rnacentral:rRNA from 1 species
UAGGGAAUAUUGGUCAAUGGGCGCAAGCCUGAACCAGCCAUGCCGCGUGCAGGAUGAAGGCCCUCAGGGUCGUAAACUGCUUUUGUACGGGAACAAAAAGCUCCUGCGGGAGCCAUUGAGGGUACCGUAAGAAUAAGCACCGGCUAACUCCGUGCCAGCAGCCGCGGUAAUACGGAGGGUGCAAGCGUUAUCCGGAUUUACUGGGUUUAAAGGGUGCGUAGGCGGCUUUUUAAGUCAGUGGUGAAAGCCUGGUGCUUAACACCAGAACAGCCAUUGAUACUGGAGAGCUUGAGUUGAGAAGAGGUAAGCAGAAUUCAUGGUGUAGCGGUGAAAUGCAUAGAUACCAUGAGGAAUUCCAAUAGCGAAGGCAGCUUACUGGUCUUUGACUGACGCUGAGGCACGAAAGCGUGGGGAGCAAACA